rnacentral:rRNA from 1 species
CCUACGGGUGGCAGCAGUGAGGAAUAUUGGUCAAUGGACGAGAGUCUGAACCAGCCAAGUAGCGUGAAGGAUGACUGCCCUAUGGGUUGUAAACUUCUUUUAUAUGGGAAUAAAAUGUUCCACGGGAGGGAUGGUGUAUGUAUCAUAUGAAUAAGGAGUGGCUAACUCCGGGCUAGCAGCAGCGGGAAUACGGAGGAGCCGAGCGUUAUCCGGAUUUAUUGGGUUUAAAGGGAGCGUAGGUGGAUUGUUAAGUCAGUUGUGAAAGUUUGCGGCUCAACCGUAAAAUUGCAGUUGAAACGGGCAGUCUUGAUUACAGUCGCGGUGGGCGGAAUUCGUGGUGUAGCGG